UGAGUUGAAUGGAAUUGAGAUUGGACGAUUCAACAAAAAUUGAGACUUUGCGAUUUCUGGAACUAAGACUUUGCGAUUUCUGAAAUUCAACAGAGAAAGAUGAUAAAGAUGAAAUUCAUGCAACAGAGAAGAUGAAAUUCGAUUUCUUAAAUUGAGAACUAAAAACCUAAGUUAAACAAUUAAAAAACAGUAAUCAAACAGAGAAGAUUAACCACUUACGCCGGCGAGUUGAAUGGAAUUGAAAUUCAACAGAAAUUGAGACUUUGCGAUUUCAAAAAUUGAUACUUUGCGAUUUAUGAAAUUGAGACUGCGAUUUAUGAAAUUCAACAGAUCGAGAAGAUGAUAAAGAUGAAAUUGAGAGUUUGAGACUGCGAUUUCUGAAGAAAGGUGAGUCGGGAAGAAAAU
rnacentral:lncRNA from 1 species